rnacentral:rRNA from 1 species
CNGUAAACGAUGGGUACUAGGUGUAGGAGGUAUCGACCCNUUCUGUGCCGGAGUUAACGCAAUAAGUACCCCGCCUGGGGAGUACGACCGCAAGGUUGAAACUCAAAGGAAUUGACGGGGGCCCGCACAAGCGGUGGAGUAUGUGGUUUAAUUCGACGCAACGCGAAGAACCUUACCAGGUCUUGACAUUGAUGGACAGAACUAGAGAUAGUUCCUCUUCUUCGGAAGCCGGAAAACAGGUGGUGCACGGUUGUCGUCAGCUCGUGUCGUGAGAUGUUGGGUUAAGUCCCGCAANGAGCGCAACCCCUAUCUUAUGUUGCCAGCACGUAAAGGUGGGGACUCAUGAGAGACUGCCGCAGACAAUGCGGAGGAAGGCGGGGAUGACGUCAAAUCAUCAUGCCCCUUAUGACCUGGGCUACACACGUACUACAAUGGGAGUUAAUAGACGGAAGCGAGAUCGCGAGAUGGAGCAAACCCGAGAAACACUCUCUCAGUUCGGAUCGUAGGCUGCAACUCGCCUACGUGAAGUCGGAAUCGCUAGUAAUCGCAGGUCAGCAUACUGCGGUGAAUACGUUCCCGGGCCU